rnacentral:rRNA from 1 species
UGAGUAACCUGCCCUUAACUCUGGGAUAAGCCUGGGAAACUGGGUCUAAUACCGGAUAUGACUCCUCAUCGCGUGGUGGGGGUGGAAAGCUUUAUUGUGGUUUUGGAUGGACUCGCGGCCUAUCAGCUUGUUGGUGAGGUAACGGCUCACCAAGGCGUCGACGGGUAGCUGGUCUGAGAGGAUGAUCAGCCACACUGGGACUGAGACACGGCCCAGACUCCUAUGGGAGCAG